UUCCAUAAAAACGGUGUCAUCAAGGAUAUAAAAAUGCUCGUAUUUCUUGUGUUAAUCAUCAUUUCCCUCAUAGCAGUUACAGAAGCAACAUGAGGAUUACAUAUUUUAUUGUAUUUGUACUAGCCUUUGUCGCAACUGGAAUAUUCCAGGUAGAGGCAGGAAGGUCAUCUAAACCAGUCACCCAAGCACCAGGAAGAAAACACGGCCAUAAAUAGCACUUAUACAUAAAACACUUAUUUUAAUAUGGAUUAUUAAUUUAUAUUAAUUUAUUUUAAUGUUUUAUCUUACAAAUACAAUAAAAAUGUUACUCCACUAAAAAA
rnacentral:lncRNA from 1 species